rnacentral:rRNA from 1 species
AGAGUUUGAUUCUGGCUCAGGAUGAACGCUAGCGACAGGCUUAACACAUGCAAGUCGAGGGCAGCGACGGGAGUAGCAAUACAACUGGUGGCGACCGGCGCACGGGUGAGUAACGCGUAUGCAACCUACCUAUCAGGAGGGGAAUAACCCGGCGAAAGUCGGACUAAUACCGCAUAAAACAGGGGCGCCGCAUGGUGAUAUUUGUUAAAGAGAUUCGCUGAUAGAUGGGCAUGCGUUCUAUUAGGUAGUUGGUGAGGUAACGGCUCACCAAGCCGACGAUGGAUAGGGGAACUGAGAGGUUGGUCCCCCACACUGGUACUGAGACACGGACCAGACUCCUACGGGAGGCAGCAGUGAGGAAUAUUGGUCAAUGGGCGGGAGCCUGAACCAGCCAAGUCGCGUGAAGGAAGAAGGAUCUAUGGUUCGUAAACUUCUUUUGCAGGGGAAUAAAGUGCAGGACGUGUCCUGUUUUGUAUGUACCCUGAGAAUAAGGAUCGGCUAACUCCGUGCCAGCCGCCGC